rnacentral:rRNA from 1 species
UACGUAGGGGGCGAGCGUUGUCCGGAAUCAUUGGGCGUAAAGCGCGCGUAGGUGGCCUCAUAAGUCCGCUGUGAAAGUCAAAGGCUCAACCUUUGAAAGCCGGUGGAUACUGUGGGGCUAGAGUACGGAAGAGGCGAGUGGAAUUCCUGGUGUAGCGGUGGAAUGCGCAGAUAUCAGGAGGAACACCAAUAGCGAAGGCAGCUCGCUGGGACGUUACUGACACUGAGGCGCGAAAGCGUGGGGAGCGAACAGG